UACGUAGGGGGCAAGCGUUGUCCGGAAUCAUUGGGCGUAAAGCGCGCGUAGGCGGCCCGGUAAGUCCGCUGUGAAAGUCCAGGGCUCAACCCUGGAAAGCCGGUGGAUACUGCCGGGCUAGAGUCCGGAAGAGGCGAGUGGAAUUCCUGGUGUAGUGGUGGAAUGCGCAGAUAUCAGGAGGAACACCAAUAGCGAAGGCAGCUCGCUGGGACGGUACUGACGCUGAGGUGCGAAAGCGUGGGGAGCAAACAGG
rnacentral:rRNA from 1 species